UACGUAGGGUGCAAGCGUUGUCCGGAAUUAUUGGGCGUAAAAGAGCUCGUAGGCGGUCUGUUGCGUCGGCUGUGAAAAACCCCGGGGGCUCAAACCCCCGGGGCCCUGCAGCCCGAUACGGGCAGACUAGAGUUCGGCAGGGGGAGACUGGAAUUCCUGGUGUAGCGGUGAAAUGCGCAGAUAUCAGGAGGAACACCGGUGGCGAAGGCGGCUCUCUGGAACGCAACUGACGCUGAGACGCGAAAAGCGUGGGGGAGCAAAACAGG
rnacentral:rRNA from 1 species